CUUGAGUUCGGUAGGGGAGACUGGAAUUCCUGGUGUAGCGGUGGAAUGCGCAGAUAUCAGGAGGAACACCAGUGGCGAAGGCGGGUCUCUGGGCCGAAACUGACGCUGAGGAGCGAAAGCGUGGGGAGCGAACAGGAUUAGAUACCCUGGUAGUCCACGCCGUAAACGGUGGGCGCUAGGUGUGGGAUGCUGUUCACGUGUCCCGUGCCGUAGCUAACGCAUUAAGCGCCCCGCCUGGGGAGUACGGCCGCAAGGCUAAA
rnacentral:rRNA from 1 species